rnacentral:rRNA from 1 species
CCUGACUGCUAUCGGAUUGAUACUAAGCCAUGCGAGUCUUUGUAGUAAUACAAGGCAGACGGCUCAGUAACACGUAGUCAACCUACCCUAUGGACAAGAAUAAUCUCGGGAAACUGGGCAUAAUUCUUGAUAGAUCAUAAUGCCUGGAAUGGUUUAUGGUUAAAAUGAUUCGUCGCCAUAGGAUGGGACUGCGGCCUAUCAGCUUGUUGGUGAGGUAAUGGCCCACCAAGGCGAUUACAGGUACGGGCUCUGAGAGGAGAAGCCCGGAGAUGGGUACUGAGACACGGACCCAGGCCCUAUGGGGCGCAGCAGGCGAGAAAACUUUGCAAUGUGCGAAAGCACGACAAGGUUAAUCCGAGUGAUUUCUGCUAAAGAAAUCUUUUGCCAGUCAUAAAACCACUGGUGAAUAAGGGGUGGGCAAGUUCUGGUGUCAGCCGCCGCGGUAAAACCAGCACCUCAAGUGGUCAGGAUGAUUAUUGGGCCUAAAGCAUCCGUAGCCGGCUUUGUUAGUUUUCGGUUAAAUCCAUGUGCUCAACGCAUGGGCUGCCGAAAAUACUGCAUGGCUAGGGAGUGGGAGAGGUAGACGGUACUCAGUAGGAAGGGGUAAAAUCCUUUGAUCUAUUGAUGACCACCUGUGGCGAAGGCGGUCUACCAGAACACGUUCGACGGUGAGGGAUGAAAGCUGGGGGAGCAAACCGGAUUAGAUACCCGGGUAGUCCCAGCUGUAAACGAUGCAGACUCGAUGAUGCAUUGGCAUAAUAGCCAGUGCAGUGUCGCAGGGAAGCCGUUAAGUCUGCCGCCUGGGAAGUACGUACGCAAGUAUGAAACUUAAAGGAAUUGGCGGGGGAGCACCACAAGGGGUGAAGCCUGCGGUUC